GACGAACGCUGUCGGCGUGCUUAACACAUGCAAGUCGAACGGAAAGGCCCUGCUUGCAGGGUGCUCGAGUGGCGAACGGGUGAGUAACACGUGGGUGAUCUGCCCCUUACUUUGGGAUAAGCCUGGGAAACUGGGUCUAAUACUGGAUAGGACCAUGCUGUAGGUGGUGUGGUGGAAAGAUUUUUUCGGUAAGGGAUGAGCUCGCGGCCUAUCAGCUUGUUGGUGGGGUAAUGGCCUACCAAGGCGUCGACGGGUAGCCGGCCUGAGAGGGUGGACGGCCACAUUGGGACUGGGAUACGGCCCAGACUCCUACGGGAGGCAGCAGUGGGGAAUAUUGCACAAUGGGCGCAAGCCUGAUGCAGCGACGCCGCGUGGGGGAUGACGGCCUUCGGGUUGUAAACUCCUUUCAGCCAUGACGAAGCCGCUGUUGGGGUGACGGUAGUGGUAGAAGAAGCACCGGCUAACUACGUG
rnacentral:rRNA from 1 species